rnacentral:rRNA from 1 species
AAUAGAUACCCUGGUAGUCCACGCCGUAAACGAUGUCGACUUGGAGGUUGUUCCCUUGAGGAGUGGCUUCCGGAGCUAACGCGUUAAGUCGACCGCCUGGGGAGUACGGCCGCAAGGUUAAAACUCAAAUGAAUUGACGGGGGCCCGCACAAGCGGUGGAGCAUGUGGUUUAAUUCGAUGCAACGCGAGGAACCUUACCUACUCUUGACAUCCAGAGAACUUAGCAGAGAUGCUUUGGUGCCUUCGGGAACUCUGAGACAGGUGCUGCAUGGCUGUCGUCAGCUCGUGUUGUGAAAUGUUGGGUUAAGUCCCGCAACGAGCGCAACCCUUAUCCUUUGUUGCUAGCGGUUAGGCCGGGAACUCAAAGGAGACUGCCAGUGAUAAACUGGAGGAAGGUGGGGAUGACGUCAAGUCAUCAUGGCCCUUACGAGUAGGGCUACGACACGUGCUACAAUGGCGCAUACAAAGAGAAGCGACCUCGCGAGAGCAAGCGGACCUCAUAAAGUGCGUCGUAGUCCGGA